GGGGAAUAUUGGACAAUGGGCGAAAGCCUGAUCCAGCAAUGCCGCGUGAGUGAAGAAGGCCUUAGGGUUGUAAAGCUCUUUCGCCUGCGACGAUGAUGACGGUAGCAGGAGAAGAAGCCCCGGCUAAUUCCGUGCCAGCAGCCGCGGUAAUACGGAAGGGGCUAGCGUUGUUCGGAAUUAAUGGGCGUAAAGCGCGCGUAGGCGGCUUGGCAAGUGAGGCGUGAAAGUCCUGGGCUCAACCUGGGGACGGCGCUUCAGACUGCUUGGCUUGAGUCCGGAAGAGGGUGGUGGAAUUCCGAGUGUAGAGGUGAAAUUCGUAGAUAUUCGGAGGAACACCGGUGGCGAAGGCGGCCACCUGGUCCGGAACUGACGCUGAAGUGCGAAAGCGUGGGGAGCAAAC
rnacentral:rRNA from 1 species